rnacentral:lncRNA from 1 species
UCAGAUUCUUCGCCGCCGGAAACCGAAUCCUUCUUCUCCGGUUCGUCUUUUUUGUCGUUCUGUGAAGCCUCUUGUUCCAGAUCUGGUAUUCCUCCAUCGUUUUGAUUACUUUGCAAGCUUUUAUCUCGCUCCUCCUCCAAUCUUUUGACCUUUAGCUGCAGAGAACUGUGAAGGAGAUUUUCAGAUCUAAAUCAUGAAGAAAAAAAUUUUCAAAAAAACUUGUAAAAAAAAGGCCUAGACUUUACAGGAUUGAGACAUCGUAUCGCUGAACCUCUUGUUUGAGCUCAGCAACACGAAGCUUCCUCAGCUCUUCAAGCCAUGGAAUAUUAACGACUUUAUCAGCAGUGUUAUUAUUAUUGUUGUUAAUAUUAUCUUGUUCGUUACAUGUGGUGGUGGUGGUGAAGCGACGGUGAAGGUCGUGGUAUUUCUGCUGACAGUUCUCAGCGGUGGUGAGAAGGUGGGGGAGGGAGCUUUUGGUUUGGACUUCCAUGGCAACAGAAUCCCAGUUCUUGAAACCGUGGCGUUUGACGGCGCAUGCUAAGAGAAGCUCGUC